rnacentral:rRNA from 1 species
GGCUUAACGUGUGCGUAGGCGGGCGUGUAAGCAUCUUGUGAAAGCCCCCGGCUCAACCGGGGAAUUGCUUGGUGAACUGCACGUCUUGAGGCAAGUAGAGGUGGUCGGAACGAUAGGUGGAGCGGUGAAAUGCGUAGAUAUCUAUCGGAACGCCAACGGAGAAGUCAGGCCACUGGGCUUGUUCUGACGCUGAGGCACGAAAGCGUGGGUAGCGAACGGGAUUAGAUACCCCGGUAGUCCACGCCGUAAACGAUGCGCACUAGGUCGAGGAGGUUUGACGCCCUCUUGGCCGAAGCAAAAGUGUUAAGUGCGCCGCCUGGGGAGUACGGUCGCAAGGCUAAAACUCAAAGGAAUUGACGGGGGCUCACGCAAGCGGUGGAGCAUGUGGCUUAAUUCGAAGCAACGCGAAGAACCUUAUCCAGGGUUUGACAUGCACGGAUCAACCCCAUGAAAGUGGGGCCACACCCGCAGGGGCGGAACGUGCACAGGUGCUGCAUGGCUGUCGUCAGCUCGUGCUGUGAAGUGUCGGGUUAAGUCCCUCAACGAGCGAAACCCCUGUCGCUAGUUACCAUCAGGUAAUGCUGGGGACUCUAGCGAGACUGCCGGUGUCAAACCGGAGGAAGGUGGGGAUGACGUCAAGUCCUCAUGGCCUUUAUGCCCUGGGCUGCACACGUGCUACAAUGGUGGGUACAAAACGAUGCAAGACCGCGAGGUGGAGCAAAUCGCCAAAACCCGCCCCAGUUCGGAUUGCAGGCUGCAACUCGCCUGCAUGAAGCCGGAAUCGCUAGUAAUCGCGGAUCAGCUACGCCGCGGUGAAUACGUUCCUGAGCCU